rnacentral:rRNA from 1 species
GACGAACGCUGGCGGCGUGCUUAACACAUGCAAGUCGAACGGAAAGGCCCUGCUUGCAGGGUACUCGAGUGGCGAACGGGUGAGUAACACGUGGGUGAUCUGCCCUGCACUUCGGGAUAAGCUUGGGAAACUGGGUCUAAUACCGGAUAGGAGCCAUCUUUAGUGUGGUGGUUGGAAAGUUUUUUCGGUGUAGGAUGAGCUCGCGGCCUAUCAGCUUGUUGGUGGGGUAAUGGCCUACCAAGGCGGCGACGGGUAGCCGGCCUGAGAGGGUGUACGGCCACAUUAGGACUGAGAUACGGCCCAGACUCCUACGGGAGGCAGCAGUGGGGAAUAUUGCACAAUGGGCGCAAGCCUGAUGCAGCGACGCCGCGUGGGGGAUGAAGGCCUUCGGGUUGUAAACUCCUUUCGCUAGGGACGAAGCUUUUUUGUGACGGUACCUAGAUAAGAAGCACCGGCUAACUACGUG